AAUUUGUUUUUGUCAUUGUUGUUUGGGGGCAGAAAUGAGCCCAUUGCAGUUUGGCGUCGCACUAGAAAACUUACUUGGACAAACUACACGAAAGUUAGAUUUGUGCUUUAUCGCAAGUGUUUUCAAACAGUAUUUUUCGGUUCUACAAAAGAAAAGACUUUACGGCUAAAGACUAAGUGAAUGUUUUGGCAAAUGUACGUCUGGUUAACUUCCCCACCUCAGUUUUCUACACGAGGUUUCGGAGUAGGCGCAUGUAAUCACCACAAAGUGUUCAAGUCUCUUUCUUCAUGGAUGAUGGCGACAUGUUGGGACGCUGUCGAGGACCUCUGAGAUGUGGACUGCUGUGAACUGGAGAGCUUCGCCCCUGAAAACAAAAACACACCUGCAGUAAACUGGAUCCAUGAACACUGGUGUGACGCAGAAAUACCUUUCCAUCUCUGACUGGGGAGUCACCCAGCUGAACUGUUUGACACUAUGGACUACUCUGGAAAAAUAUGUGCGUGCAUAAUAUUAAUGUGCUUCCUCAGUUUUGCAGAACAUCAACAAUUAAUACCUUUUUUUAAAUGAUCCAUAAAGUCUCUUUCUGUAUGCCGAUAUAUACUAUGAAGUACAGAGUCAACUGACAUAGUUCAUUUGCAAUCAUGGCAAAUACAAACCAACUCUUCUAGUUGAUGGAUGUUAAAACUUUGAGACACUCUGUACACACAGACCUUAAACACACAGGUAUGUGCCUUUCUAAAUCAUGUCCAAUCAAUUCAAUUUGCCACAUGUGGAAAGUUCUACAGAUAUUUAAAGGAUAAUCAAAGCAAACAGGAGGCAUCUGAGCUCAGUUUGGAGGUCAUUAACAUAAAUACUUAUGUUAAUGAGGGAUUUCAGUUUUGGAUUUUUAAUAACUGCAAAAAAUCUAAAAACACGUUUUUGCUUUGUCUUUAUGGAUUAUUGUGUGUAGAAUUAAUUGCCAAAAAAUAGAUAUAAUCCUUUUUAAAUUAAAUAUAACACAAUCAAGGGUGCAAGAAGUGAAUACUUUCUGAAGCCACUGUACAUUACAUGAACAUCUGUGCUCAUGUGGCAUAUAUUCUGGGUUACAGAAUGAAAGACAUGUACUGUUACGUCCUCAGACUCACAAGAUCCGAGUCAAAUUUGAGCAUGACUUAAAUAAUCUUAGUUGCUCUUUAUAGGGACAGACAAUAAUCGUAUUUACAGUAAGUUGCGUACUUGCCUGAAAAUGUUGCUUUGUCAUUUUAUUUUUGUGUUGACAGGAUUGUAUUGUUUCCACAAUAUUUUUUGUUGUUUGUGUUAUUUAAUUCAAUAACCUAACUAACAAAGUAACUUCCUUAAGAAAUUUAAGUCAUGAUAUGAUAUUUCAAAAACAGAACCGGUCUGGUUUUAUUGUGUAACAAUUUUUGGCACAGAUGCCUGAGUCCUGAUAAGGGCGGGUUUAAUACUCAGGGCACAAGGGAGUGUUUUGUUCUUGCAAUAAAACAGCCACCACAGA